AACUGAGAAAACUACAUUUGUACUACAUUUUCUGUUUACUUAUAGUUUUAACCUGCUUUAAUUUCUUCAUUUGAGUUCAAGACAUUGCCUCUUCUCCCCUCAUUGCCUGAUCUCCUUCCAUUUGAUCACAAAGGACUCUGUGCUUCGUGUAGAAUUGAUCUGCUCAAGACCUUUACAACCUAUUCUCGUUCAUUUGCAGAAUGAACUACCAUAUCCAGUUUCAUGUGGUCCUGAGGGUCGACACAAGUUCUCAUGUGUGCCAUUCAGCAACUUGAACAACUGAGCUACACCACAGCCCCUGGAUAUUUUUAUACAGAAGAUAUUUUCACUUUCUAGUGUUUGAUUGCUUUGUGUUACUUCAUAUACACAAGGUGGGGCAGACUCUUGACUCUUUUGCUUUGGUAGUUUUCAAGGUUAUGACUAAUUUUCUUAGCAUACAUCAAGGUUAUGACUAAUUUUCUUAGCAUACAUCAAGAAAGAGCAAUCUACAUGAUUGCUUAAGAGUUUGUGACUAUUGUUAUCGGAUUAUAUCAUUUCUAGCACCCCUGAGAAGCUAGGAAUAUAAACCUAGAAUUAAAAUCCUUAGCUUCCAAACUUCUGGUCAUGGUUUCAGCUUAAGCUGGAUUAUAAAGCCAUUACAAAGAAAAUAUAUAAAAGAUGGAAAGUUCUCUGUGACUGCAUGAAAGUGUUGAUUCUGCUCUUCACAUACCUUGGAGCCAUAAGUCUAAAACAAUUCUAAUAAGCAGUAGUGUUUUUAUGCACCAGAUGGAAAGAGGCCAUAGAACUUAAAAUGGAGGAAGGUCACAUAAUGAGCAAAAGCUGUUAUUUUUGACAUAGAAGGGGCUAAAUGUUUCCAAAGUGCUGAAGGAAUAAACUGUGGUGUGGUGAAUGAGCUUAAGAAAGAAUACCUCAUUGAAACAGAAUUACAGUUCUGAAGCAAUUUUUAAAUAGGGCCUGGAGGAAUGAGUAGGAGGCAAUGGAGCAGAGACAGGGGAACAGAAUUUUAGGCCCAGAAAGAAACAGGAGGAGAAGGAGCUGAAGCGUGAAAUAACUUCUCAUAAUUGAGGGAAAGGAAGGAAGCUUCCCCCCAGUGCCAAUUAAUUUGACCCAAGAUCCACCAAGUACAACUUGAAAUGCAGUGAUAGCAUUGUUUCUUCACAAGUUACAGCUGAUAUUUUUCCAUACAUGAAUUUAUUAUUAAGUGAGAGAAAAAAAAUAAGACAAAACACAUAUGUAUGUGAACAAAUUCUCAAUGCAACAAGUUUUGUUCAUUGUGUCCUGCCUGGUGUUGAAGUUUCACCAAGCUUUAUGACUGUGUGUGUGUGUGUGUGUGUGUGUGUGCAUGUGUGUCCACUGUACAUGUAGGUGAGUUUGGCAAGCAAUACACAAAUAGACUGUGAUUAUAGUAAACAUAAAGUAAAAUUCUAUCACCUAAAAAUGUUUAUCUAUGCCCUUUAUAAGUCACCCU
rnacentral:lncRNA from 1 species